UACGUAGGGGGCAAACGUUGUCCGGAUUUACUGGGUGUAAAGGGUGCGUAGGCGGGUCUUUAAGUCAGGGGUGAAAUCCUGGAGCUCAACUCCAGAACUGCCUUUGAUACUGAAGAUCUUGAGUUCGGGAGAGGUGAGUGGAACUGCGAGUGUAGAGGUGAAAUUCGUAGAUAUUCGCAAGAACACCAGUGGCGAAGGCGGCUCACUGGCCCGAUACUGACGCUGAGGCACGAAAGCGUGGGGAGCAAACAGGG
rnacentral:rRNA from 1 species